rnacentral:rRNA from 1 species
AUUGAACGCUGGCGGAAUGCUUUACACAUGCAAGUCGAACGGCAGCACGGGGGCAGCCCUGGUGGCGAGUGGCGGACGGGCGAGUAAUUCAUCGGUACGUGCCCGGUCGUUGGGUCUAAGGUAACGAAAGUUACGCUAAUACCGCAUUCGAUCCGACGAUGAACGGGGGGGACCUUCGGGCCUCGGGCGAUCGGGGCGUUCGAUGUCGGAUUGGCUAGUUGGCGGGGUAAAGGCCUAGCAAGCCGACAAUCCGUAGCUGGUCUGAGAGGACGACCAGCCACACUGGAACUGAGACACGGCCCAGACUCCUACGGGAGGCAGCAGUGGGGAAUGUGGGACAAUGGGCGCAAGCCUGAUCCAGCCAUUCCGCGUGCAGGACGAAGGCCUUCGGGUUGUAAAGUGCUUUUGUACGGAAAGAAAAGGCUCUGGCUAAUACCUGGCGCUCAUGACGGUACCGGAAGAAUAAGCACCGGCUAACUACGUG